AGCAAUCUGCCGUUCUUGUGGGGGAUAGCCGGCCCAACGGCCGGGUAAUACCGCAUACGCUCUCCUGGAGACAUCUUCGGGAGAGGAAACCCUUCGGGGGCAAGACGAGGAGCUCGCGGCCUAUCAGCUAGUUGGUGCGGUCAUGGCGCACCAAGGCGACGACGGGUAGCUGGUCUGAGAGGAUGGCCAGCCACAUUGGGACUGAGAAACGGCCCAG
rnacentral:rRNA from 1 species